GUUGUUGCCUGUGAAUGGUAAAGUUGUUGCAAAAAUGGUAAAUGUGUUGCUUUUUUUACCGAUUUGGUAAAGUUGUUGCCCAAAGCAACAACUUUCCAUAUGAAAAUUGGUAAAUGUGUUGUCAUCACCAUUGACAAUACACACGAGCCUGCUCCUGCGUGUAUUAUCGCAUAGACUUUAAAAGAGGCUACCAAGGCGCUUGAUGGAUGCGCAUGCUGCAUGCAUGGAGUCCUACAUAUAUACAUGUAUGUACAGUUUGACAGAAUGAUGGUGUUAUGGAUGAAUGAGAUGAGAAUUACGAAUGGAGGUGCUCCCAGUGAUUCCAGAGCUGUUCUUCCAAGAGAGUGUCAACUAGCACUGAGCCUGGAUGUAAGGAUGUUCCUUCUGGAUCAAGAAGCGAUUUGAUUGUGGAGCCUGGAUGUAAGGAUGUUCCUUCUGGAUCAAGAAGCGAUUUGAUUGUGGAGCCUGGAUGUAAGGAUGUUCCUUCUGGAUCAAGAAGCGAUUUGAUUGUGCUUACUGUUGUACAAAGUUGGCAACCGAGUAUUGGGGAAGCAGUUGUGCACACAACGUGUCAGCGUAGACUCCUCUAACCAGAUGGAGAGCAGACAAUGAUCAAGCUCAUUUUACAGGCUGCCCUUUCAAAUGCGUCCAAGAUGAAGAAAAGGCCAUUUCGAGCAUUGACCAAUGCUGUGUAUGACCCGAUGUCUAGGAA
rnacentral:lncRNA from 1 species